rnacentral:rRNA from 1 species
CCUACGGGAGGCAGCAGUAGGGAAUCUUUCACAAUGGGCGAAAGCCUGAUGGAGCAACGCCGCGUGCAGGAUGAAGGCCUUCGGGUUGUAAACUGCUUUUAUAAUCGAGAAAUAUGAUGGUAACUUAUGAAUAAGGAUCGGCUAACUACGUUCCAGCAGCCGCGGUCAUACGUAGGAUCCGAGCAUUAUCCGGAGUGACUGGGUGUAAAGAGUUGCGUAGGUGGCAUAAUAAGUAGCUAGUGAAAUCUGGUGGCUCAACCAUUAAGACUAUUAGCUAAACUGUUAAGCUUGAGACCGUUAGGGGUAACUGGAAUUUCUAGUGUAGGAGUGAAAUCCGUAGAUAUUAGAAGGAACACCAAUAGCGUAGGCAGGUUACUGGGACGGUUCUGACACUAAGGCACGAAAGCGUAGGGAGCAAACGGGAUUAGAUACCCUAGUAGUC